UCGCGCUUCUCGUUUCUCGCUCUGAUGGAAAGAGACAACGAUACAACGUCAAAUUCCCUAUCCUAGCGAGAACGAACGAGAAGCGUAAGCAGAGUUGGGCGAAAAGUAUGCUUUCGCAUUUCUUCGCAAAGUUGACUGAAAACGCUUUUGCUCCAAUGAAGCGGCUUGACUGGAUUUAUUAUAUGUAACCAGAGGUAUCAACAUCUCUAAACCUGCUCACACACCCUCGUCAUAGAUUUAUCUGGAUUUGUCAGCGCUUAUGAUUGCGGCGAGUACCUGGUCAAAACUGAUCUGCAGGUUGAGGUUCCCUCAAGUUGCCGUGGACGUCGGGUCUUGGCCUGAAGAGUUCCAUUGAUGUUGGAGCUGGCGUGGUUGACCCUGACUAUCGUGAAAAUCUUGGAGUUUUUUUUUUCAACCUUAGUGACAAAGAAUAAAAUUGCUCAGUUGAUCUACGAGAAAAUUAUCCUCCCCAUGAUGGAAGUCAAGCACGUAUAGAGUCUUGAGGAAGCAACUUGAGGAGCAGCUGGGUUUGAAUGUAUACAGGGGUGCACUUAACCUAUUACCCUCAACUGCUGAUAGGUGAUUUCUCACCGUCCAUGGUUGCAUCUGAAACGCGUGCCUGUCAGCGACUUUGCAAGUGGAGAGCAUGGAGGACGUCCAGCCCGAGGACGAAGAGUUUCGUCUCGAGCCCAUUACCAACGAAAGCUUCAUCUUGACUCCAGGCCAGAACUAUGAGCAUUUUAGGAUCAUGUUGCUCUAGCAGUAGACGGAGCUGACCAUGUAGGACAAGAAUUGCACCCUCAGCAUCCUCUUCGUCUUCCUGGAGGACCAGGGCAGCUUCGGCUGCGAGCUGAAACCCUGGAUGGGUCUUGUGCGUCUGACCAAAAACCAAUCUACGUUUGCGGCCAAGACAGUGUUCUCAAUUUUGAAAAGCCAGCUUAAGCCGCAGGAUGCUUAAAACCAGAUGAAAUCAAUCAAGUCUUGCCGGGCUUAAAUUGGCAUUUUUUAAAUUAGUAGAAUUUUUAAUUUUGAGGAGAACAUUUUCAGUAGGUGCCUAA